rnacentral:rRNA from 1 species
GUAGUCAUAUGCUUGUCUCAAAGAUUAAGCCAUGCAUGUUUAAGUAUAAGCAAUUAUACCGUGAAAAUGCGAAUGGCUCAUUAAAUCAGUUAUCGUUUAUUUGAUAGUACCUUACUACUUGGAUAACCGUGGUAAUUCUAGAGGUAAUACAUGCUGAAAACCCCGACUUCGGGAGGGGUGUAUUUAUUAGAUAAAAAACCAACGCCCUUCGGGGCUUCUUGGUGAUUCAUGAUAACUUCACGGAUCGCAUGGCCUUGCGCCGGCGACGGUUCAUUCAAAUUUCUGCCCUAUCAACUUUCGAUGGUAAGGUAUUGGCUUACCAUGGUUUCAACGGGUAACGGGGAAU